AUUGAACGCUGGCGGCAUGCUUUACACAUGCAAGUCGAACGGCAGCACGGGUGCUUGCACCUGGUGGCGAGUGGCGAACGGGUGAGUAAUACAUCGGAACGUGCCUAUUAGUGGGGGAUAACGCUUCGAAAGGAGUGCUAAUACCGCAUACGUCCUGAGGGAGAAAGCGGGGGAUCUUCGGACCUCGUGCUAAUAGAGCGGCUGAUGGCUGAUUAGCUAGUUGGUGAGGUAAAGGCUCACCAAGGCGACGAUCAGUAGCGGGUCUUAGAGGACGAUCCGCCACACUGGGACUGAGACACGGCCCAGACUCCUACGGGAGGCAGCAGUGGGGAAUCUUGGACAAUGGGCGCAAGCCUGAUCCAGCAAUGCCGCGUGGGUGAAGAAGGCCUUCGGGUUGUAAAGCCCUUUUGUACGGGAGCAAAUCUUUGCGGUUAAUACCUGCUGAGGAUGAGAGUACCGUAAGAAUAAGCACCGGCUAACUACGUGCCAGCAGCCGCCGCGGUAA
rnacentral:rRNA from 1 species